rnacentral:sRNA from 1 species
GGAGGAAAAUCUAAGUCUCUGAUUACACACCAUGUGAUUCAGAAAGAGACAGAGGAAGGGGAUGUUUCUAAAUGACACCAAAGAAGAUGUAUUUGUACAUCAGACUGCCAUCAAGAAGAAUAACCCACGGAAAUAUCUGCGUAGUGUAGGAGAUGGAGAAACUGUAGAGUUUGAUGUGGUUGAAGGAGAGAAGGGUGCAGAAGCUGCCAAUGUGACUGGCCCGGAUGGAGUUCCUGUGGAAGGGAGUCGUUACGCUGCAGAUCGGCGCCGUUACAGACGUGGCUACUAUGGAAGGCGCCGUGGCCCACCCCGGAAUUACGCUGGGGAGGAGGAGGAGGAAGGGAGCGGCAGCAGUGAAGGAUUUGACCCCCCUGCCACUGAUAGGCAGUUCUCUGGGGCCCGGAAUCAGCUGCGCCGCCCCCAGUAUCGCCCUCAGUACCGGCAGCGGCGGUUCCCGCCUUACCACGUGGGACAGACCUUUGACCGUCGCUCACGGGUCUUACCCCAUCCCAACAGAAUACAGGCUGGUGAGAUUGGAGAGAUGAAGGAUGGAGUCCCGGAGGGAGCACAACUUCAGGGACCGGUUCAUCGAAAUCCAACUUACCGCCCAAGGUACCGUAGGUAUGUCGCAUUUUCCACUAAUGGCCAG